rnacentral:rRNA from 1 species
GACGAACGCUGGCGGCGUGCUUAACACAUGCAAGUCGAACGGAAAGGCCCUGCUUGCAGUGUACUCGAGUUGCGAACGGGUGGGUAACACGUAGGUGAUCUGCCCUGCACUUCGGGAUAAGCCUGGGAAACUGGGUCUAAUACCUGAUAGGAGACAUUUUUAAUGUGAUGGUUGGAAAGUUUUUUGGGUUUAGGGUGAGCUCGCGGCCUAUCAGCUUGUUGCGGGGGUAAUGGCUUACCAAGGCGGCGUCGGGUAGCCGGCCUGAGUGGGUGGACGGCGACACAGGGACCUAGGGACGGCCGAGAUAGGGAAGGGAGGGAGCAGGGGGGAAGAUUGACCGAGGGGCGCAGGGCGGAUGCAGCGAGGCCGCGGGGGGGAAGACGGCCUUAGGGGUGAAAACCACAUUCGCUAGGGACGAAGCUUUUCGUGACGGUACCUAGACAAGAAGCCCCGGCUAACUACGUG